GAUGAACGCUGGCGGCGUGCCUAAUACAUGCAAGUCGAGCGAACGGACGAGAAGCUUGCUUCUCUGAUGUUAGCGGCGGACGGGUGAGUAACACGUGGAUAACCUACCUAUAAGACUGGGAUAACUUCGGGAAACCGGAGCUAAUUCCGGAUAAUAUUUUGAACCGCAUGGUUCAAAAGUGAAAGACGGUCUUGCUGUCACUUAUAGAUGGAUCCGCGCUGCAUUAGCUAGUUGGUAAGGUAACGGCUUACCAAGGCAACGAUGCAUAGCCGACCUGAGAGGGUGAUCGGCCACACUGGAACUGAGACACGGUCCAGACUCCUACGGGAGGCAGCAGUAGGGAAUCUUCCGCAAUGGGCGAAAGCCUGACGGAGCAACGCCGCGUGAGUGAUGAAGGUCUUCGGAUCGUAAAACUCUGUUAUUAGGGAAGAACAUAUGUGUAAGUAACUGUGCACAUCUUGACGGUACCUAAUCAGAAAGCCACGGCUAACUACGUG
rnacentral:rRNA from 1 species